UCAGCCCAGAGCCCGACGCGGGGCUCGAACUCACGAACCACGAGAUCAUGAGCUGAGCCAAAGUUAACCAACUGAGCUGCCCAGGAUCCCCCUCGUCCCCCCCGGGGGAUUGCAAGCAAACAGACACCCAGGGGUCCAUAUUUGUAACAAUUUUUUUUUUUUUUUUUUUUUUAGGAUUCCCACGCUGUGGAACCUCUGGCAGCCAUUUGGAGGACCUCUCACCCCCAAAUCUCCUGCCGCCCCAACCACACGCCACUAGCUUUUCUCUGGCCAGUGGGAAGGACUGGAUGGACCCCUGGAAGAUACACGCAGGCCGCCAGCUUCUUUCCCACGUGGAUUACGCACAGAGCAAGACUGGAAAUGCUUAAGAGCAGGGGUCCCCCGUGGGAUCACCCCUGGGAGCUGGGCCAGGCCCCUCAGGGCCCCAUCAGUGCUGGCUGGAGCUGGUCUGGACAAAUCCGGAUGGUUAAAUCCUCCUCUGAGGACGGAUGGAGAGGACUUGGAUUGUGAGGCCUGGGCCUGGUCCUUCAACCAACCCCUGCCUGGUCUUUUCAGUACAAGGACGGAGGGGUGGCUGAGUGGCGAGGAAUAAGAUUCUACCUGGCUCCCCUUUGUAUCCCCAUGUGCCUCACCCUGCCCGCGGCACACUCGUUUAUUCGUCAUCAUCCACCCAUCCAUCCAUUCAUUCAUUCACUCGUUCACUGGAGACACUGUGUGUACCAGGGAAACAAGAAAUUACGAACAGUAUUGAGGACGCGCAGGGAGAAGCCCCAGGCGUCGCUGAGCCUCAAAGAGACCUUUAACCGGGGUGACGAGUGGGCAAGAGCAAGGAGGAGGAGGAGGAGGCCAGUUUGCGAGGGAGCCGGAUGGAUGGGGACUCCGACUGCUCCUCAAUGUUGGGGAACUUCCUGCCCAAGACAGAGGCGAGACAGGCCGGACUGUGGCCCUCUCCCUGCAAGCGGGAUGCCGGCCGAUGCUCUCGGUCCAUCUGUGGGAGCUUCCCCAGUGACCUUGUCACCUGGGAGACACCUACCUGAGUAGGAAGAAGGUUCUCGUGCUGGGAUCCAAGUUAUGCCGCUUGUUUUAUUAUUCUCCCUGCUGGGACCUGUUCAUCAAGGACACUUAGCUUUACUUCAAACAAGAGUUUCAGUCUUCUUCAAACGUCAAACUUGGUUUUCGAGAGGUAAAAUAAUUGCCUUUGAACACAUACAUCUGUAAUAAGAGCAUGAAGAACUAUGGGGAAUGGUAGUCAACAAAUUCAGUUACUACCUCUUGGUGGUGAUGAGGGAGGGUUACUAGAAGUUGGUGGAGAGUAACAUUUUAGAUGGUGCACUGGGGACACAGUGUUCGUUGUAUUAUUCCGGGUACUUUUGUUGUGUCAGAAAUAUUUACUAAUAAUUUUUACAAAUUUUUUAUGUUUAUUUAUCUUUGAGAGAGAGAG